AGAGACUACCCCCUCUUCCCUUCCCCAGCCCCCCCAGGCCUCACAGCCCUCCCCAGCCAGGUCCCGAGGCAGGCCUGUGACGUGGUGUCCCUGCUCACAACAACAACACUAGCCAUGGCAAGUUUCAACGAGGAUAGCCUGAAAAAGAAGUUAGAUGACCUGAACAUGUCCCAGCAAUCCAUCCAGACAGUGUCCCUCUGGCUGAUCCACCACAAGAAACACGCGCACACUGUGGUCAAUGUGUGGUACAGGGAGCUCAUUGCUGCCACAGACUCCCGGAAGCUUACGUUUAUGUACCUCGCCAAUGACGUGAUCCAGAACAGCAAGAAGAAAGGCCCGGAGUACAACAAGGAGUUCGCCAACAAGCUGGGCAAGGUGUUUGAGCAUCUUGGGGGAAUCCGCCUCGACGAGAAGUCUGUGCAUGGCCUCAACCGGCUACUCACAGUCUGGGGUGAACGGAAUGUGUUUGACCAUGAAAAGGUUAAGCUCUUCAAAAAGAAUCUCAAUAAGGGAUUAAAGAUUAAGGAAGGCGGCGGCAAAAAACGACAACAUGGAAGUAAACACAAGAAAGAAUCCUCUAAAAAGCAGCGGAAGGAAAGUGUCGAGUCAACAGAAUCAUCUCGCUUGAGGAAGGACAGUGAAGGAGACCUGUCCCCUCAGACCACCCCACCCCCCAGUGACCCCCCUGAGCCUGAGCAGCUGAUUGAAGCUUUGCAGGAACUUGAGAGUGCAGCUACCUCAGAUGCAGUUGUUCGUGAAAAAAUUGCAAGCCUUCCAGAUGAAGUGUCUGACGUGUCCCUCCUCACCAAGCUUCAAGGUGAGGACUUGAAUGCAGCUCGUGCCCUUAGCAAGAAGGUGGAGGAUGCCAUGGCAAUGUUGGAAACGUACAAUAAGAGACUGUCAGAGGAGAUGGAGGCUCGUAAAAUGGUGGCAAGGAUGCUACAUGACUAUAUAACCUAUCAGAAAGACCUCCUUGCCCAGGCAGAGGAGACCCUAGAGGAGCACCGGCAAAAACACAAUAAAGUCAAAAAGGUGCGGGACGAGCUGAAGGCACAUCUACAAAACCUACCUGACAUUUCAAAGCUUCCCAGCAUCCGCACAGGCAGCCUGGCGCCGCUGCCCUCUGCUGGCGACCUCUUCACGUGACUCUCUCCAGCCUGGUGGCCCAGUAACAGACUCAUAAUGCUGUGAAUAUUGUGAUAAUCAACGUUCAGAUCCACCACCACCAGAGAGAGAGAGAGAGAGAGAAAGCUACGCCACCAUCAUGAGCGUUUGGAUUCAGAAUAGGAAGAAAGACGUAGAGAAGAUUAUAUGUAGUAAUAGAGAUGUUAAUGGGCACUACCAUUCCUCCACUCGCCAUCCUGCCCUCGCCUCCUCCCUCUUCAUUCUUCAUCAGUCCUCAGCAUUGUGCCACCAUUUCUCCAUUCACCAAGCCUCAUCCCUCAACUCACAUUUCUUCCCACCUGAUGCAGUGACAGAGUGGCUGAGCAAAGUUCAUGUGUGGAAUAGUUUUCUGUUCAUAGUAUUGCAGACGUUCCUAGCAGGCAAAGGGUGUCUGAUGUACAUAGAUCAACCAGUGCAAUGAAAAAGACAUUCGAAAAAUUACUUUUAUGAUAUUUCAAAAUGUUUGUUUUGAAUUGUGACAUAUAAGGACAAGAUAUCUUAGGAACUCUACUGUACUUUUUAAGGAAGCAUCUUAGUUGUAUGUGUAGCAUUGCAAUUGUUUUUAUUUUAGAUACUAUAAUUAUGUAUAUAGAGACAGAUCAAUUCAUUUAUAGAAGAGAUAAUUGUUACUAAAAAAAAGUAAGGUUAUUAGAACAUUUUACUUGGGAUUAUUCAGUGUGUAUUUGCCAAAUUGUAUUGUGUAAAGUCAUUUACACCAUUGUUAAUAAGGAAGCGUUAAGCAACACCUUCCUGUUUCUCAGGGGGCGGCCAUCCCAUGCAUGUCUUCCUGUGGCACUAGGGGGUCAUUUCAAACUCAAGUGGGAGUUGUAGGGUGAGCUAUGAUUAUUUUUGAAGGCUGUCUAGCAGCUUGACAUCCCCUAGGAAUGAUGCUGGUGAGGCAAAAUGCUGAGGUGUUUAAAUUUUUUACUCUCCCCAUCAUGAGUAUGUAUAGCAUAGCAGUAAACAGACCCAUGAAGUGUGCUAAAAAUUAAGCUGCACAUAGAAUUACUCCAGGUAGCUUCACAAUUAUUUUCCUUUGCUUGAUACAGAUGGAAGUGGUGUUCACUCAUUUACUGUAUUAACUUGGUUGUAAGUUCUGCCAGAGAUCGUUCAUUGAAUUGUAGUGGUUAUUUAACAGCUCUAUAGGCUCAGACCUUAGGAAGUUGACAAUGAUUAUUACUAUGUAAAUGUUGCCUUGCUAUGAUCUUUGAAUUUUGAAUGAAACAAAAGCAGGGCACAUGAAAGGACUUCAUUAACUGAGUUCAUCUCUGUUAUUUAGACACCAAGCUUUGAGUUCCCCUCCUCAGUACUGUAGGUGAGCAUUAGGCAGAGAACUGCUUCCCUCCCCGCUGCCCUCACUCCUCAAGCAUCUAAUAAGUAUUACAGUCUCAGCACAUUGGGUUGUGGCAACAGGUGACUUAAGGUCAAUCAAUACUGUGUUACUUGAGUAUAUAAGAUUGUGUGCAGUGUGUUGUUCGGUGUGCAAGUUCAUGCAUUGCCUUAUUCUGCAUGAGUAUCAAUGUGUAUACUAUACAUGUAUUAAACUAGUGAAACAUU
rnacentral:misc_RNA from 1 species